rnacentral:rRNA from 1 species
GCUAACGCAUUAAACAUUCCGCCUGGGGAGUCGGUCGCAAGAUUAAAACUCAAAGGAAUUGACGGGGCCCGCACAAGCGGUGGAGCAUGUGGUUUAUUGAAGCACGCGCAGAACCUACCAGCCCUUGACAUCUAGACCGGUAGAGAGAUUUACCUUCCAUUCGGUGGCGUAGAGACAGGUGCUGCAUGCGUCGUCAGCUCGUGUCGUGAGAUGUUGGGUAAGUCCCGCAACGAGCGCAACCCUCCCCUUAGUUGCCAGCAUUCGGUUGGGCACUCUAAGGGGACUCCGGUGAUAAGCCGAGAGGAAGGUGGGGAUGACGUCAAGUCCUCAUGGCCCUUACGGGCUGGGCUACACACGUGCUACAAUGGUGGUGACAGUGGGCAGCGAGCACGCGAGUGUGAGCUAAUCUCCAAAAGCCAUCUCAGUCGGAUGCCUCUCAACUCGAGUGCGAAGUGUAUCGCUAGUAUCGCGUCAUCACGACG